GGCUGGAGAGAUGGCUCAGCAGUUUAAGAGCACUGACUGCUCUUCCAGAGGUCCUGAGUUCAAUUCCCAGCAGUCA
rnacentral:tRNA from 1 species